AUACGGAGGGUGCAAGCGUUACUCGGAAUCACUGGGCGUAAAGCGCGCGCAGGCGGCUAUUUAAGUUGGAUGUGAAAGCCUACGGCUCAACCGUAGAACUGCAUCCAAAACUAUUUAGCUAGAGUGGGGGAGAGGAAGAUGGAAUUAGUUGUGUAGGGGUAAAAUCCGUAGAGAUAACUAGGAAUACCAAAAGCGAAGGCAAUCUUCUGGAACACUACUGACGCUGAGGCGCGAAAGCGUGGGGAGCAAACAGGAUUAGAUACCCUUGUAGUCC
rnacentral:rRNA from 1 species